GAGGCCCGAUGCCGUAUCCUGCCGCCCGUUUUACCCGCGGGAAAGCCGAGGCCCGGUGCUGUAUUCUGCCGCCCAUUUUACCCGCGGGGAAGCUGAGGCCCAGUGCUGUUUAAUAUCUUACUCAUGUUCACUUGAUGAGAAAGUGACAGAUCUGAGACAAACCCAGUUCUAGAGGUUAUGACACCAGCCAUGGAAGAGCAGAGAGGCCAAUGAGGUGGGGAGGUUGGAAACAAAAGGCCUUCUCCACCCCAGCUUGACCAACCCAAAAGCUGGAAGGCAAGGAAGACCUAGAUCGACAGAAAAGAAAUGAGUCAACGAUGGUGCAGAAAGGGACCAGCUUGACGAAGCUUCUGCUUUUGUGACUGUCUCCUAAUGUUUGAGAUUCCAAAUACGAUUUCUGUGGAGAAAACAAAAAAGGACUCUGUUUUUAAUUCAAAAGGGAGAAGUGAAAUUCUACCUCACUUUUUUAAAAGAAGAGCCUGGAAUUGGCCUAUCCGUCUUUUUCCCCGUUGGAUCACAGAGCAGAAAGGAAGGUGGGCGUUUGUGUUCUGGGUGUUGUCCACGCUGGACGUGCCAGCAUCUCCCACUGAGCCAGAUGUUCCAGGGCUAAGGCCAGUUUCAUUUGAAGGCACAGCCUUACUAUAUCAUAUUAAUCUGAUGCCAAGUUUUUGGAUGUUAUGAGCAACCACCUCAUUUAUUUUUUGUGGUUGUUUAACCACAAUGAGUAAGGUGAGAAAACUGUGAUGCGGUCGACUGGCACCUAGCAUUGCCCCCAUCUGGAACAUCUGCAGCCUAGAUCUGUUCUGAUGAAGUAGAAGCCGCAGAUCUUAUCCUGAAACAGGCCAGGUGCAAGUGUCCUCUUAGAAGGGAUCAACCAUGGGAUGCGGCAUUAAGAGAAGAGAGAAGGACAUCCUUACAACUGUGCCUUUCUUUCAACUCAGUCGUGCGCAUUAGGCUUGUAUCAGUUAAAGUGCAGGCAAGAAAUUUCAAGCAGAAAGGGAGUCAGGUGCUCAUAGCAUUGCUGGCAGAAUUGAGAGCAGCGGGAGCCAUGGGAUGGGGGUGCUGCCUGGAAAUCAGGAAACUGGAGAAGCCUGCUGGAACCUGCUGAGGAACCCAUCACUGCAGCAAGAGACUGAUGGUGGACUGCAGGGGCCAGGAAGGUGCAGGAAGCCCCUGCUGCUGCAGGAGAAAGGAUGAAGGAUGGUUAUCUUCCACCUUCCAAAUCUCACAGGAACACCUCUUCUAGGUGGAAUCCAAACCAGAUUCCUUCUGGAAAGGGAUUCUGGAAAGUGUAGUUCUUAUGCUUCCAGCCUCUGAGAUAAGCAAGGACAAUUGCUGGAGGCGAGGGUGUCGCUGAAUACCAAGGAAGGAUAGCAGGUGUAGUUGCCCACAUGGCCACUCAGCAUCCACAUGGACAUCCCACCCAUGUUAAUUUCCAAAGAGCCAUCACAGAAACAUCAUCAUGCUUCCUCACAAAGAAGAAAUGCUCACCUCCACCCCAAUAGAAAGGGUCCAGGUAUCCAUCUCUGAGUGAUGGUCACCCUCCAUAUUCAGUAAAAAACACCCUCGGAUAGACUGUGGUUGAAAGACUAAACCUUUAGGUUAGCCACAGUCAAUAUAUCUUAUAUAAAAUAAGAGAGGCGGGGAGAGCAGGGGAAAGAGAUACUGGGUUAUGUGUGUAAAAACAUACACAAUAAAGCAAACAAGAAA
ensembl:lncRNA MIR646HG MIR646 host gene